GGAUAUAGCUCAGUUGGCAGAGUGUAUGCCUCGCAUGCAUAAGGCUUUGGGUUCAAUCCCCAGCCACCCG
rnacentral:tRNA from 1 species